AUUGAACGCUGGCGGCAUGCCUUACACAUGCAAGUCGAACGGUAACAGGUUAAGCUGACGAGUGGCGAACGGGUGAGUAAUGUAUCGGAACGUGCCCAGUCGUGGGGGAUAACUACUCGAAAGAGUGGCUAAUACCGCAUACGACCUGAGGGUGAAAGCGGGGGACCGUAAGGCCUCGCGCGAUUGGAGCGGCCGAUAUCAGAUUAGCUAGUUGGUGGGGUAAAAGCCCACCAAGGCGACGAUCUGUAGCUGGUAUGAGAGGACGACCAGCCACACUAGGACUGAGACACGGACCAGACUCCUACGGGAGGCAGCAGUGGGGAAUUUUGGACAAUGGACGCAAGUCUGAUCCAGCCAUGCCGCGUGCGGGAAGAAGGCCUUCGGGUUGUAAACCGCUUUUGUCAGGGAAGAAACGAGUUUCUCUAAUACAGAGACUUAAUGACGGUACCUGAAGAAUAAGCACCGGCUAACUACGUGCCAGCCGCCGCGGUAAAAC
rnacentral:rRNA from 1 species